rnacentral:rRNA from 1 species
UGAAUCCAUAGGUUAAUGAGGCGAACCGGGGGAACUGAAACAUCUAAGUACCCCGAGGAAAAGAAAUCAACCGAGAUUCCCCCAGUAGCGGCGAGCGAACGGGGAGCAGCCCAGAGCCUGAAUCAGUGUGUGUGUUAGUGGAAGCGUCUGGAAAGGCGUGCGAUACAGGGUGACAGCCCCGUACACAAAAAUGCACAUAUUGUGAGCUCGAUGAGUAGGGCGGGACACGUGGUAUCCUGUCUGAAUAUGGGGGGACCAUCCUCCAAGGCUAAAUACUCCUGACUGACCGAUAGUGAACCAGUACCGUGAGGGAAAGGCGAAAAGAAC